CCUGAGUAGCUAGUAUUGCAGAGUGAGCCACCUGGCUGAAGGUUAUUUUUGGAACUAGUUUUUCAUAGAUUAUAUUUUUAGAGCAUCUUAAGGUCACAGGAAAGCUAAGUAGAAAGCACAGAUAUUUCCCAUAUAACAUUGACUCUACACUAUGUAGCCUCCUUUGUUAUUGAUUUUAUGCUAGAAUGGUAUUUGCUAAAGUUUAUAAAUACACACCAACACAUUAUCAGUAGGUAUCCUAUAUUCUGUAGGUUUGGACAAAUGUCUGAGGUGUAUUCACCAAUCCAGGCAUGGUGCUACACUGCUAUAGUCUCAACACCUUGGGGGUUGUAGGUAAGAGGAUCACUAGUUUGAGGCCAGGCAGGGCAAAAUUAAUGGGAUCCUAUCUUUAAGACAAAAUAAAGCUAGUGUUGGUGGCUCACACUUUUAGUCUUAGCUAUCUGACAUCCUAAGCUGAAUGUGAGUG